rnacentral:tRNA from 1 species
UAGCUCAGUUGGUAGAGCGCCUCCAUGGUAAGGAGGAGGUCCCGGGUUCGAAUCCCGG